UACGAAGGGUGCAAGCGUUACUCGGAAUUACUGGGCGUAAAGCGUGCGUAGGUGGUUUGUUAAGUCUGCUGUGAAAGCCCCGGGCUCAACCUGGGAAUGGCAGUGGAUACUGGCAAGCUAGAGUGCGGUAGAGGGUAGUGGAAUUCCCGGUGUAGCGGUGAAAUGCGCAGAUAUGGGAAGAACACCCGUGGCGAAGGCGGCUCUCUGGACGCAACUGACGCUGAGACG
rnacentral:rRNA from 1 species